GGCUCAGAGUGAACGCUGGCGGCGUGCUUAACACAUGCAAGUCGAACGAGAACGGGUUAUAGCUUGCUAUAACUGUCAGCUAAGUGGCGCACGGGUGAGUAAUAUAUAGGUAACGUGCCCUAGAGAGGGGGAUAACAGUUGGAAACGAUUGCUAACACCCCAUAUGCCUUUAUCCCAUAAGGGAGCAAGGGAAAUAUUUAUAGCUCUAGGAUCGGCCUGUACAGUAUCAGUUAGUUGGUGAGGUAAUGGCUCACCAAGACAAUGACGCUUAACUGGUUUGAGAGGAUGAUCAGUCACACUGGAACUGAGACACGGUCCAGACUCCUACGGGAGGCAGCAGGUGGGGAAUAUUGCACAAUGGACGAAAGUCUGAUGCAGCAACGCCGCGUGGAGGAUGACACAUUUCGGUGCGUAAACUCCUUUUAUAUAGGAAGAUAAUGACGGUACUAUAUGAAUAAGCACCGGCUAACUCCGUG
rnacentral:rRNA from 1 species